UGCCAGCAGCCGCGGUAAUACGUACUGGGCGAACGUUAUUCGGAAUCACUGGGCUUAAAGGGUGCGUAGGCGGCGAUUCAGGUCUGAUGUGAAAUCUCACGGCUCAACCGUGGAACUGCGUUGGAAACCGGAUCGCUUGAGUGUGCUAGGGGUGUGUGGAACUUCCUGUGGAGCGGUGAAAUGUGUUGAUAUGGGAAGGAACGCCGGUGGCGAAAGCGACACACUGGGGCACAACUGAACGCUGAGGCACGAAAGCUAGGGUAGCGAACGGGAUUAGAUA
rnacentral:rRNA from 1 species